UACGUAGGUGGCAAGCGUUGUCCGGAUUUACUGGGCGUAAAGGGCGUGCAGGCGGUCUGUUAAGUGCAGGGUGAAAGCUCCCGGCUCAACUGGGAGAGGUCCUUGCAUACUGGCGGAGCUUGAGGGGGGUAGAGGAAAGUGGAAUUCCCGGUGUAGUGGUGAUAUGCGUAGAUAUCCGGGAAGAACACCGGUGGCGAAGGCGGUCUUC
rnacentral:rRNA from 1 species